UAAUACAGGGGGUGCUAGCGUUGUUCGGAAUGACUGGGCGUAAAGGGUGCGUAGGCGGCUUUGUAAGUAAGAGGUGAAAUCCCCGGGCUCAACUCGGGAACUGCUACUUAUACUGCAAAGCUUGAGUUCGAUAGAGGAAACAGGAAUUCCUGGUGUAGGGGUAAUAUCCAUAGAUAUCAGGAGGAACACCAAGUGCGAAGGCAAGUUUCUGGGUCGACACUGACGCUGAGGCACGAAAGCGUGGGUAGCAAACAGA
rnacentral:rRNA from 1 species